rfam:Beta vulgaris subsp. vulgaris Bvchr1.sca006.con0044.1, whole genome shotgun sequence.
AUACUAUGGUGUGGACAUUUACGUUGUAAUUCUUUAAAUCUUUCCCAAGCCUCAUAUAAUGAUUCUCCAUCAGGUUGUGUAAAAUUAGUAAUAUCAUUACGUAAUUU